GCAGUUCAAUUCCAGGCUGCAGCAAAAUCAGAUUGUGCAGAAGAAUCAUCUGUUUCUUGUGGUUUUGUCCUGGUGGUCGUCUGAGACAAGGUCUUUACAGGGGAUCUGUAUCUUGGGCUCUAGUUUUCCUGGUCUCCGCUGUCUUUCAGGGAUGUAGAGGUGACCCUCUGAUCUGGAUACAGACUGGAUCUGGUGGCUACGGUGACCUCGGAAUAAGAGAGAAACAGACUAAUAUUAGCGUAGAGGCCAUUCUUCUAAUGAUGAAGCAAGUACAUCGGGUGGUAUGGGAAGUGUUCCCGGUUCCGGUUUACCUAAUUAAUGCAGCCUAAAAAUCCUUUGGAUAUUUGGAUAUUAAAAGCAUAUUAGUAUGUUAUGUGUAAGCCAGGUUAAAGAGAUCUAGGUCUUAUUCUAGAUUUAAACUGCAUUAUUAUCAAACUGCCUGAGUUUUGAGAACGUAGCGGACGUAGAGGAUUAUAAUGUAAAAGGAGCUAAUUCAAAUAGUGAGGUGCUAAACCAUUCAGGGCUUUAUAAGUAAUAAGCAAUAUUUUAAAAUCUAUACGAUGUAUGAUAGGGAGCCAGUGCGGUGUUGACAGGACCGGGCUAAUAUGGUCAUACUUCCUGGUUCUAGUAAGAUCUCUUGCUGCUGCAUUUUGGACUAGCUGUAGUUUGUUUACUAAGCGUGCAGAACAACCACCCAAUAAAGCAUUACAAUAAUCUAACCUUGAGGUCAUAAAUUCAUGGAUUAACAUUCCUGUAUUUGACAUUUAGAGCAUAGGUCAUAAUUUAGAUAUAUUUUGAGAUGUAAAAAUGCAGUUUUACAAAUGCUAGAAACAUGGCUUUCUAAGGAAAGAUUGCGAUCAAAUUGCACACCUAGGUUCCUAACUGAUUAAAGCUAAAGCUCUGCUUUUUUUUAAGCUCUACUUUACUUUUACUUUUUUAUGUUCUAUAAAAUAGACAGCAACGAUAUAAAAGUAAUAUGAGUUAUAAUGUUAAUAAUAUUUGAGUAAGAAUGUUUAUACAAAAUUUUACUAUAGGUUCUGCUCGCGAAUAACUUUAUAGUGUGCUUAAUAAUAAUUCAUCUUUAGCUUCUGUUUGUGAACAUCUGCUCUGGUGUAAAUGUGUUAAAAAAAUGUAUACUCUGUCAUUGGCAUUGAUGAUCAUCUGAGGGCUAAAUGUAUCAAGCAAGCUGUAAAUGAGUGUUCCAUCGAAAGACAUGUGUAUAUACACGCAUCCUUUCUUAUCAGUGAUGCAAUUUAUUAUCAGCUGUGCAUCUUCUGGUAAUUGCUAACAACUGUUACGAUUUUCACUUAGGACUGUGGCUGCAUCACUGGCAUAAUUACACAAGAAAGUCACACGUGUCGUUCAGUUUUGAGUUUACUGGAAAAUCAUACUAAGUGCACAGUACAGUAAUUGUACUUUUAUUAUGCAUAGACUAUAUGAUAAUAUUAUUUGUGGUUAGUGUUAAAAUGUAGUUUCUUUGUUAUUGGCACUGUAUGGGAAAAAAUGCUAACAAUUGUUUUUAAAAUUAUUUUAGGACUGAAUACACCACUCUUGCCUUUACCUGCAUCUCUCACAGGAAGGAGACGCUCAUUCAGUUUUCAGCUCUAUUGAGAAUCUUAGAAGGUGCAAGGCUACUUCUCCCACUUGAACAUAUGCCACUAUGGAGCUUUUGAAAGAUAUAGUUGGAAAAGCUAUGCCAUCACUCAGCAAUGAGCUGUUGGAUUCACUUAUGGCUAGACUGGAGAUGAUUGGAGUAAAUGGUGUAGAUGACCUUUGCUUUGUCAAGAUUGAGGACGUCGAUGGAAUUCUGCCACAGAUUUAGUGUAGAAGACUAAUUCAACCUUUCAGUUCAGGGUCAGAAGCUGUUCUUGGCUGCGAUUCUACACCUCCUCAUCAGGAUAUCCAUGUGCCCCAAACACCAUCUCUGACACAAAGUUACAUAGAGUGUUCCACAACCCAAGAGGUUUAUGUUGUACCAUGGCACAAAUUGCCCUCAAACCUCAUGCUUGUUCUAAGUGAAAAGAAAAGGCCAAAGCCCAGUGAGAGAAGAGAACUAAUUCGCAUCGUCAUUGAUGAUCUACUCCAUAAAGAGAAUGGAAGGCCUGGAAGAGCAAAGCUGUGGCACGUUGCAAAGCAGAUUGUAGACAAAUAUCCCUGCUCUUUCCAAGACCGAGAGCUAAAUGGAACAAAAGUCAUUGGAACAGGAUUUGAUGCUCUCUUUAUACACCUUGAAAACAGAGUUGAAAAUGUUCGGAGACCCUUAACCAUCAGCGCAAAAAGGCCAGCAGAGGAUGGAGAUGUGGUGUGGAAAAAAUCCACACAUUCAGAUCGUUAUGGAUGUGUGGAGUGGCAGCCUGCUAUUGAAGGUAGAGAUGAACUAAAAUCUAAACAAGAUGAAUUAAAACGUGCCUUUACAUCCCGUGAUCUUCGGGAGUCUUGCAUUAGAAAAAUGAUGAGUGAAACCUAUUGCAUCCAGCGUGCAACCAUCAACAAAGGAAACAUUGUAAAAACUGUAAAGGAAGAGUGGCCUUUCCUUUUUGAAGCUGUUCACCUGUUUGAUCACACAUGUUCACUCCUUGGCUUUCCAAUGCAAAUGAAGCUGCCUGAGGAAUUAACAAAAAAAAAGGAAAUACCAUCAAAGACUUCCUUAAUUCAAAAGGGAUGAAGAUUUAACUCUGUGAUGAUCCAGUACAGCUGAUCUCUGGUAUUGCCAAAUAUUUUAAGGAAACCCCUGAUCACCUUUACUGCCAAAACGAGGACAUAAUUGCUGCUGGACGAAGCAUCCCAAGCACCCCCUGCAUUAUCAUGGAGUCACAUGUGAAAAGAAAAUUCGGAUUCGAAUCACCUCCCCCGUUGUGGCCCUGAGCUACACUUUCUCUUUGUUUUAUGUUUUAAACAUAAAAUACCCAAAAGAGAUGUCUCUCUCCCUGGAAUUCAUCCAAAGGUAAAGCCACACAUUGUGUUAUGUUGAGUAUACAGCAUGUUGUUGUGUUGCUAUUUUUUUAAACAGAAAAUUAUUGAAUCUUGCUUUUUACAGUGGCUCAACCAUAAGUUUAUGAAGCGACUAUUCAUAUUCUUCUGUGUGUGCCUCUCAGUGAGUUCACGUAGUGUAACAGCGCAGCGCUUCUGGGAUGUACUAUAUUCUCAUCAGUGUUUUGUUAGCUUAAACUUAAAUUUAUUUACCCCGGCCCAUUUUCUUUCACUAUAAAUUUCUAAUUUUAUUAAACGUUUCAUGUCAAAUUUCUUAGGUUUGAUAAUAUACUGUACUAGGACUGUAACAAAUCAAAUUAAAUAAUUUACACUUUUUUUGUUUGCUGUUAAGACAAUGUAAUAAAUUCAUAAUACUCUGUAAAAUAACAAAAUUCCUUUUUUUUGCCAUUGAAGUUAAACAGGCUACUUGUCCAAUUAAGCAAAAAUGUCACUUGCCCCAUCAAAAUAAUCCACCUGUCCCUGACAAGCGUUAGUGUCAAGCCCUGAUUAAAUAAGUACUCAAAGUAAGAGUUCUGUCUGCAUGUUACUCUAUUUCAGUUUUAUUCAUUUCAUCACUUGAUUAGUUAAAAAAUGUGUAUUCAUUUCUUUAAGAGUUUUCCUGGGGAUAAAUCCUGAGCGAGGGUCCAAGGCUGAGAUGAAGGGAACAAAAUCGCAACACAUUCCUCCAAAACUUUUUUGUUCCUUUGUGACUUGAACAACUUUGAAAAUCCAUGGAAAAUUUGAGUUCUUUUUUUUUUUCAUAAUGGAAGUUGGACUGAACCGCAGUUUUGCUCAAAUAGGUUCAAGUUAAAAGGUAAUAAGCACACGCAGACACAUGAACCCCUGCGUCCCACUUCAUGCUCUUCUCUUAAGGACAAAUGGCACAAACACUGGAACAUUUUAAAGGUGACAAUAGUCUUGUUAUAGACAAGUCUAGAAAUUAUUAUUAAUGAUCUUGAGGGCAACAUUGGUGUUUUGGUGUUAGUUUUUUUUUUUUUUUAUUUCAAGAUGGUUGUUAAUCUCUAAAAUUCACUUGUUUUGAAUGUUACCUGUUACCUCUCUUUGGUGUUACAUCCUGAUUUUACAGAUACAUUGUUUAAUUGUCUUUCACUCUCAAAAAGCAAAAAAAGUUGUUUUAUGUUUUAAACAUAAAAUACCCAAAAGAGAUGUCUCUCUCCCUGGAAUUCAUCCAAAGGUAAAGCCACACAUUGUGUUAUGUUGAGUAUACAGCAUGUUGUUGUGUUGCUAUUUUUUUAAACAGAAAAUUAUUGAAUCUUGCUUUUUACAGUGGCUCAACCAUAAGUUUAUGAAGCGACUAUUCAUAUUCUUCUGUGUGUGCCUCUCAGUGAGUUCACGUAGUGUAACAGCGCAGCGCUUCUGGGAUGUACUAUAUUCUCAUCAGUGUUUUGUUAGCUUAAACUUAAAUUUAUUUACCCCGGCCCAUUUUCUUUCACUAUAAAUUUCUAAUUUUAUUAAACGUUUCAUGUCAAAUUUCUUAGGUUUGAUAAUAUACUGUACUAGGACUGUAACAAAUCAAAUUAAAUAAUUUACACUUUUUUUGUUUGCUGUUAAGACAAUGUAAUAAAUUCAUAAUACUCUGUAAAAUAACAAAAUUCCUUUUUUUUUGCCAUUGAAGUUAAACAGGCUACUUGUCCAAUUAAGCAAAAAUGUCACUUGCCCCAUCAAAAUAAUCCACCUGUCCCUGACAAGCGUUAGUGUCAAGCCCUGAUUAAAUAAGUACUCAAAGUAAGAGUUCUGUCUGCAUGUUACUCUAUUUCAGUUUUAUUCAUUUCAUCACUUGAUUAGUUAAAAAAUGUGUAUUCAUUUCUUUAAGAGUUUUCCUGGGGAUAAAUCCUGAGCGAGGGUCCAAGGCUGAGAUGAAGGGAACAAAAUCGCAACACAUUCCUCCAAAACUUUUUUGUUCCUUUGUGACUUGAACAACUUUGAAAAUCCAUGGAAAAUUUGAGUUCUUUUUUUUUUUCAUAAUGGAAGUUGGACUGAACCGCAGUUUUGCUCAAAUAGGCUCAAGUUAAAAGGUAAUAAGCACACGCAGACACAUGAACCCCUGCGUCCCACUUCAUGCUCUUCUCUUAAGGACAAAUGGCACAAACACUGGAACAUUUUAAAGGUGACAAUAGUCUUGUUAUAGACAAGUCUAGAAAUUAUUAUUAAUGAUCUUGAGGGCAACAUUGGUGUUUUGGUGUUAGUUUUUUUUAUUUUUAUUUCAAGAUGGUUGUUAAUCUCUAAAAUUCACUUGUUUUGAAUGUUACCUGUUACCUCUCUUUGGUGUUACAUCCUGAUUUUACAGAUACAUUGUUUAAUUGUCUUUCACUCUCAAAAAGCAAAAAAAGUAUUUAUUUUUUUACAGUAUAGGCACUUUUUAAUAGUGCUUUGCACAUUGUUAUACAGAGAUUGAAAAGCUGCAGCUGUUUUUGUAUUACUGGUUUGUUUUUUAUUUUUUAUUUAUUUAGAAAUGGUUUUGACUUUCAAUUGGUUCUUGACCAUUUCCAUAUGAGUUUUUACUUUUUGACAGUGCACCACUACUGCUAUACACAUACAGUACAUGCUCGUUUUAAGACAUUUAAUUGUCUUUUGUUGUUUAAAGCUAAAAAAGUAUUCAACACAAGUACUCUAUUGCACAUUAAAUGAAUUGUCCUGAUUUUUUUUUUUUUUGUGAAUUCUUUUUUUAAAAUUAUUAUUAAUCUUGAUUUGAGUUAAGAUAUAUUUUUUUGUGUGUUUUUUAAAAAAGAAAAUCCAUUUGAUUUAAUAAUCUUUUGUUGUUUAAGGCAAAAAGUCAACACAAGCACUCUGCAUAUUGGUAAAUUAAUUAUUAUUAUUAUUAUACAUUUUUUGCAAUUAAUAUGCUGCAGCCCUGUUUUUGUAUACCAGACCCCCCCCCCGAUUUAUUUAAAUGAUCGGUUCUCAACUAUUUUACUUAUGAAAUGUGUAUU